UACGUAGGGUGCAAGCGUUAAUCGGAAUUACUGGGCGUAAAGCGUGCGCAGGCGGCUUUGUAAGUCUGACGUGAAAGCCCCGGGCUUAACCUGGGAAUUGCGUUGGAGACUGCAAGGCUUGAAUCUGGCAGAGGGGGGUAGAAUUCCACGUGUAGCAGUGAAAUGCGUAGAGAUGUGGAGGAACACCGAUGGCGAAGGCAGCCCCCUGGGUCAAGAUUGACGCUCAUGCACGAAAGCGUGGGGAGCAAACAGG
rnacentral:rRNA from 1 species